rfam:Felis catus isolate Cinnamon breed Abyssinian chromosome A2, whole genome shotgun sequence.
GCCUGUGUGGCUCAGUCGGUGGAGCGUCCGACUUCAGCUCAGGUCAUGAUCUCACGGUUUGUGGGUUCGAGCCCUGUGUCAGGCU